UAGGGAGUGAAACGGCCGAAGUGCGUUAGUAGUCAAGGAAAGUUCGACCCUUGGACUGUUAUUAAAUUGAGGCAUUUUGUGGACCCAUGUUGACAGAUAUAGGGAGACCAGACUUGUGUUGUGUGAAGGAUUUCAGAGACAGUCACACUGAUAUGGCUGCAGGAGUUUCUCUCAGGAAAAGCAGCAGCAUAGACCUGCCACCAUACUUGAGUCAAGAAAUAAGUGCCAAAAGGAGACUUAAAGAGAAGAUUCUGCUGUGGUGUGAAGAAACGAUCAAGAGGGCUCAACGAAUGUUAGUCUUCUGGACCUCAAACACUGCAAUUUAAUCCAAGCCAACAUCCAUCCAUCCAUUUUCCAAAUCGCUUAUCCCACUGGGUCGCGGGGGGUCCAGAGCCUAUCCAGGAAGCAAUGGGCACGAGGCAGGGAACAACCCAGGACGGGGGGGCAGCCCAUCGCAGGGCACACUCACACGCCAUUCACUUACACAUGCACACCUAUUGGCAAUUUAGUAACUCCAAUUAGCCACAGUAUGUUUUUGGACUGUGGGGGGAAACCGGAGAACCCGGAGGAAACCCCACGACGACAUGGGGAGAACAUGCAGACUCCACACACAUGUAACCCAGAGGUGUGAGGCAACCACUGCACCACCAUGCCGCCCCCUCCAAGCCAACAAUAAUCUUGUUUUAUUUCCCAGUGUUUUGUUAUUGUGUUGUCAUCAUUUUGUACGUCAUGCCCGGCUCGUCGGCUCCUCGUGUGUGCCACGCCCCCUGAUUACCCACGUGUGCUUCCCUGAUCGUCCUCAGCUGUGUCCGAUUAUUUUGAUCAGUCUUGUCUAUUUUAGUCCGUGUCGUACCUCAGUUCCUCGUCUGUCAUUGAUGUUUGUCGAUGCCCGUGUUCCGUCCUGCUCUUACCGGCCUAAUAAAUCCCCGUUUACCCCGAA